rnacentral:rRNA from 1 species
GACGAGCGCUGGCGGCGUGCUUAACACAUGCAAGUCGAACGGAAAGGCCCUGCUUUUGUGGGGUGCUCGAGUGGCGAACGGGUGAGUAACACGUGAGUAACCUGCCCUUGACUUUGGGAUAACUUCAGGAAACUGGGGCUAAUACCGGAUAGGAGCUCCUGCUGCAUGGUGGGGGUUGGAAAGUUUCGGCGGUUGGGGAUGGACUCGCGGCUUAUCAGCUUGUUGGUGGGGUAGUGGCUUACCAAGGCUUUGACGGGUAGCCGGCCUGAGAGGGUGACCGGCCACAUUGGGACUGAGAUACGGCCCAGACUCCAACGGGAGGAAGCAGUGGGGAAUAUUGCACAAUGGGCGGAAGCCUGAUGCAGCAACGCCGCGUGCGGGAUGACGGCCUUCGGGUUGUAAACCGCUUUCGCCUGUGACGAAGCGUGAGUGACGGUAAUGGGUAAAGAAGCACCGGCUAACUACGUG